rnacentral:tRNA from 2 species
GGGCGAGUGGCGGAAUGGCAGACGCGCCAGACUUAGGAUCUGGUGGAUAAAACCGUGGGGGUUCAAGUCCCUUCUCGCCCACCA